GCAUUGUUAGAAUUCACUUUCCUUUUGUGCGUUUCCACAUUUAGUGUAUUUUAAUAAUGUUGUAUAAGGAAGACAUUAUCAUGAUAACUGUGUUGCUCAUUAAAUUAUUUAACGGAGUUCUCUAAAUGACAAAGUAAUGUUCAGCACGUCGGUCAGCUUGUUCGUCAUUUAAAUAAUUGUAAUAACAAAGUACGUUCAGGAAUUCAAUAUACUCGAAACACACAGAAUACUUCUGUUGAUUAUCGUAGCUACGACAACUUCGUGGAUUUUGGAAUUAUUCAGAUUGCUGAGAAGAAAGAUAUUCAAUGUGGAGCAUUGAAUAUCUGAGCAGACAUUUCAACUGCUGUUCGCUGUUCGUCGAAAGUAUUUUCCUUUACUCUAUCUUACGGUUGGCGGAUUCGUACGUGGUGGAAUAUUUGAAAGGAGAAGAUUACGAAACAGAGUCGGACGACACAUCUUUGUUAAAAUAUUGUUCCCGGGAUCAUGCACAACUUUCAUUAAUCGACGUUUUCUGGCAUUCGAAGAUUAAUUUGAAAUGUUUUAAUCUUCGUAUUUAUAAAUCUUUUAAUUGGGUAAAAUUAAAAGUUUAUUAUUAUAGAUUCACAUUACCAUACAGACAAUACAUGAAUCUUCAACGAUCAAUUUUUUUUAUUCUCUGUAAAUUUUGAUUGCAGAUAAAUUAUAUUUGUAUAU